rnacentral:rRNA from 1 species
UGGGGGAAUAUUGGGCAAUGGACGCAAGUCUGACCCAGCAACGCCGCGUGAAGGAAGAAGGCUUUCGGGUUGUAAACUUCUUUUGUCAGGGAACAGUAGAAGAGGGUACCUGACGAAUAAGCCACGGCUAACUACGUGCCAGCAGCCGCGGUAAUACGUAGGUGGCAAGCGUUGUCCGGAUUUACUGGGUGUAAAGGGCAUGUAGGCGGUCUGUCAAGCCAGGCGUGAAAGCCAGGGGCUCAACCCCUGAACUGCGCUUGGAACUGGCGGACUGGAGUCGCUGAGGGGGAACCGGAAUUCCUGGUGUAGGGGUGAAAUCUGUAGAUAUCAGGAAGAACACCGAUGGCGAAGGCAGGUUUCCAGCAGACGACUGACGCUGAGGUGCGAAGGUGCGGGGAGCAAACAGGAUUAGAUACCCUGGUAGU